AGUAUAAGACAGUUUUCACCAACCCGACUGCUAUUAAAUGGCGCUUUAGCUCGGGUUGGUAAGUUUGAAAAACUGUCAAGCCCAGGACUGAAGUAUCCAUCCAGUAAACCCCGCGCCCUCACUCUCUCCAAAGCCACUCCCCCAAAUCCAUGAACACGCACUGUCUGACAACUGCCGAAUACCACCAACAGAGUCCGAGCCAUCAUGAGCGCCAAGAAGAAGAAGACCAUCAGUGAAUCGUUUUCAUCACAGCAUAAAACAACAAGUAGGAACCUCAUUGCCUAGCUUCCACAAUGACAGCAUUGUUGAGUUUGAUGACAAGGGCACACCAGAGCUCAGCACAUCAUCACAUCAGAGAGGAAACAGAGGCAAAGGGCGUGGACAUGGGAGGGUGACAGGUCAAGGAGAGGAUGUUCAUAGAUCGAGUAGAAGAUCUCUUAGCUCAAAGGACUGCACAAGAGCAGGCCAGAAUUCAAGGACUUUGCGCAACACCUAUGUAUUUGUUGUUUUGUAUUUACCUCUUGUUAUGCAUUACCUCUAAGCUGUUUGAAUAAAGUCUUGAAAAUGA